GACGAACGCUGGCGGCGUGCUUAACACAUGCAAGUCGAACGAAGAGCGAUGGAAGCUUGCUUCUAUCAAUCUUAGUGGCGAACGGGUGAGUAACGCGUAAUCAACCUGCCCUUCAGAGGGGGACAACAGUUGGAAACGACUGCUAAUACCGCAUACGAUCUAAUCUCGGCAUGGAGGAUAGAUGAAAGGUGGCCUCUACAUGUAAGCUAUCACUGAAGGUGGGGAUUGCGUCUGAUUAGCUAGUUGGAGGGGUAACGGCCCAGCAAGGCGAUGAUCAGUAGCCGGUCGGAGAGGAUGAACGGCCACAAUGGGAAUGGGACACGGCCCAGACUCCUACGGGAGGCGGCGGUGGGGCAACUUCCGACAUGGACGAAAGACUGACGGAGAAACGCCGCGUGAGUGAUGACGGCCUUCGGGUUGUAAAGCUCUGUUAAUCGGGACGAAAGGGCUUCUGGCGAACAGUUAGAAGGAUUGACGGUACCGGAAUAGAAAGCAACGGCUAACUACGUG
rnacentral:rRNA from 1 species